AAAUUCAAGUGCAACUUUGCUAUCACCGCUUGCAAUGAAUCCAUUGACUUGUGUUCUCUUUGUUUUUCGCUUUGCGGUUGAACUUAGACAAUGCAAACUCAGCUAGUGAUCAUCCUGAGACAACAGUGUCACUAUAGAAGCACCUCUCCUCUCAUGAUAAUUAAUGGCUAGCAAGGUCAUUGACAUUAUGGCAAGAAUUUGCACAGCUUUGCAAGUCGAGUGAGGAAGCAUCAAAGCAUUGGAAGAACUCUUGGAGUUUGUUCCAUGUUUGUAUUCUGUAUUGGUUCAAAAUUUCUCCACAUCAGUCUUGAGCAUGCAUUGUAAAUCUUUGAUGUGCCUAUUGUGCAAUGUUUUGAAAGCUCUUCUGUGAUUUAUGUAAAGAAAUGAGUUAAUAUAUUGCAACCCUUUUAUUC